AUGGAAAAUCAGAACAGGCAACACCCCAAGAUACAAAACCACCAGAGAGAAAAAAAAAAGAUCUUUUGGUCAGCCGCAUCAUCCUGCCAUCAUCUCGCCUCGUGUCGUCACCGACCCCCAAUCAUCAAUCAAUCAGCCGAACGAGGGGAUCCCGUAUCUCCAGCCGUUGGAGGACCGCCGGGUGGGCGGCUGCUGCGGCGCGAAGCUGAGCCCGAACAUCUCCCUCAGGACCUGCCCGGGCUCCUGGAGCCCGAUCAGCUUGGCCACCAGGGACGCGCUCUCCCUCACGUGCUCCAGGUCCCUGCUCUCCGUCCACAGCCGGCGAGCCACCUGCAGCUUCCUCCUCUUGGAGUCCAGCGACACGCUCCACUUGGUGUACAUGUGGUUCCUCUCCUCCACGGACAGCCGCUUCUGCAUCUGCCUCGCCAGCAUCUCCCUCUCGCGCUGAAGCUUCUUGGCGCUGCAUAA
rnacentral:rRNA from 1 species